GAUGUGUGCACAAAAUGUGGCCCAAAUGCUACAUCACACCUGACAUAUCGGUUAUAAGGCGGACUUGUGGCAGAGUUGAAGUAGCAACACUCACCCUGAGCUACCGUCAUUAGUCAAGGCCCAAAGGAAAUUGAAAAUUUGGGUCAAUCAUUUAUUGCUAUGUAGGUAGGGUUCAGAAGCAUGUGUUGCACAAAAUAUCGUAUGAAAUAUCAAAAUAAUGAGCAGCUAAAUUAAUAACCUUAAAUAAUUAUUAGCUGCAGGCCUAGUUUUGAUUAAAGCUCAAACAGUUCAGAAUGUUAAUAAGGGGAAAACAUUUUCUAGCAGAUCUUUUCUAAGGAAAUCUGAAGCCAGCAUGUUUAUGUAAUCAAUGACAAAUUAAUGAGUGCAUUUAUUGAAGUAUUUUUUUAUUUUUGACUCGGAUUUCUAUGAAAAUGCAUUAUGUUAUACCUAGAUAUUUGGGAGUGAUUAUGAGAACAGAUGGCUGUAGGACAAAUAGGCAGCUUUUGGUCUUUCACUGAGCCGUAUGUCAAACAGGAUGCCAUCAUGGCCUCUAAGUACAGGUCCUGCACUUGAACUCAGCAUGAAGCGACUGGGAGCCAUCUGUGUGGAGUUUAUAUAUCCUCUAUUUUUUCCUUUUUUUUUUUUGUUAAUAGAUGCAUUACUUUUCUCUGUUUAUUCAAUUUACAAGAUAUUCUAAAUCUCAGACUAGUGUCUCACUUUACAAGACUAAUACAUGUUCAUCAUGCUGUAGUAUUGUUUCUUCAUUUUAACCUGAAGUUAGGUGGUUGCCAGGCAAUGUGAUGACAACAUGUUAUAUAAAAUAAUCAUGAUAUUCUAAGUUUUCUUCAUUUAAAUGAGCUGUUAUUGUCAUGAAAUGAAGAUGACACAUGCUUGUGUUAAUGGUGCAUAACUCCUACUAUAUAACACAUUAAAGCUUUGUUCGCCUAUGAACUCCAGCUACACAAUCAAGAGCUGAGGAAGCAAAAUUAUAUAGCACAUCUUGAGUCGUGUACACGCUGGAAGUGAUUCGCUCAUCACAUACCGCUUUGAAGCUGCCAGCUGGUUUCUUGAAGACCUUCCAGGCUCCGGUUUCCUAGAUAACCCUCUUAACUUAACACACUGUUUGCUGCUACAACUACACAUGUUUCUUUUCCAAAUAUUUAUUUAUAAGUGACUUAUGUAUGUAUGUAUGUAUAUAUAUGUAUAUAUUGUACUAUUCUUAGUUAGCGUAUUGUCUGUCUUGUCUUAAUGUUGGUUUAAAAUGGAGCACUGUAACAAAAAAUAAUUUCCCCCAGGGAUCAAUAAAGUAUUCUGAUUCCGAUUCUGAUUCUGGUUCUGUUACUUUCCCCUAAAUGUCCAGGAAAUAUGGUAAAAGUAACAAAAUGUCAAAUGUCAUUCUGGGGGCCUCUGGAUGUCUGGAGUUUUGAUCUUCUCCAUACCUGCUUCAUGCCCUGGAGGACGGGGCUGUGCCCCCCCCCACACCCUCAAACCUUUUUAAAAAAAAACAAAAAAAAAAAAAAACCAAACAAGCGCGUCCAUGCUCACAGGUGUACACACGGGUGAUCACACCCACAAACUACACUCUUUUUGGCUCCUACCUCAAAGCACACUGUGUUCUGUUGAUCUUAUGUGCUGCACAAUAAUGUUUAAUAUUUAGUAUUUACUGUCAUAUUCCCAUAUAUCAUUGUGAUGUUGUUUAUUCUAUUACUCUUGUUCUCUUCUGCUUGUUUUCUUUUUUCUUUCUCAGCAGGUGAUCCAGGUGAUUGAUAUAUGCAUUUUUUUUUUCUGCCCGUUCUGUUGGUUUUUGUCUUUUGCCCUUCUCCCCCGUCCCUCUUCUCAGCUGUUUCUCUUUCCCUCUUUCUUUCUCCCCUUCUUUCCCCCAGUCAAGUCUGUCCCGUAUUCAGUAAGUAAAAAUAAAAUAAACAAUAAAAGGUGAAUCAAAUGGACUAUUACGGCAAGGCUGGGAUGGUCAAUUUGGUAAAGUAAAUCCGUUGGGCAUCUUUCUUUGCCUUAAGACAACAAUUCUGAUGGCAAAAGAGCCAAACGGGACAGGCAAAAAAAAAAAUAAAAAAUUAAGAUUAGGUCUAAACUGUGUGGGGAAUUCAGUCUUAAAAAGACAUAGUGAAUAAAAAGAAUUGGGAAUUAUGACUUGUCCAACUAGAUGCUCACAUUAAAAACACACACUCCAUCUAGCAGGUAAAUCUGUUCAACUGCUUCUUAAUACAAAAAUCUAAUUAGCCAGUCACAUGUAUAACUCAGCGCAUUUAGUCAUGAAGACAUUGUUAAAAUGACCUGCUAAAGUUCAAAGUAAGCAUCAUUGUGGGGAAUAAAGGUGAUGUGUAAAGGUGAAGUUAUUUUGAAGUUCUCAUUUUGGUUGGUACCAGGCAGGCUACUCUUG
ensembl:lncRNA